CCAAUAGCGUAUAUUAAAGUUGUUGCAGUUAAAAAGCUCGUAGUUGAAUUUCGAGACCGGCUUACUGGUCGUGCUUUUGUGCGUACUGGUAUAAUCGGUUUCUCCUUUCUGACGAACUUUAAUGCCAUUAAUUUGGUGUUUUAGGGAAUCAGAACUGUUACUUUGAAAAAAUUAGAGUGUUUAAAGCAGGCUCACGCUUGAAUACAUUAGCAUGGAAUAACGGAAUAGGACGUUUGAUUCUAUUUUGUUGGUUUCUAGGAUCGACGUAAUGAUUAAUAGUGAUAGUUGGGGGCAUUAGUAUUCAAUUGUCAGAGGUGAAAUUCUUGGAUUUAUUGAAGACUAACUACUGCGAAAGCAUUUGCCAAGGAUGUUUUCAUUAAUCAAGAACGAAAGUUAGGGGAUCGAAGACGAUCAGAUACCGUCGUAGUCUUAACCAUAAACUAUGCCGACUAGGGAUCGGAUGAUGUUAAUUUUUUAAUGACUCAUUCGGCGCCUUACG
rnacentral:rRNA from 1 species